CGGCAACGACAGGUUGAUCACAUCCUGAGUUUUCCGACUGAUUUAUUCAAUUCUACCGGUUCUGAUUUUUUUCCCUCCAUAGUUUCUCCAGCACCAUCUGCCUUGCUCUCAUCACAACUUCUUUCAGUUCCUCAGGUGGAAUGGUAAAUGUGAGUUUCUCUUACCGUUCUUCAGAGGGAAGAGCUUGAGAGACAGUGGACUCUUCUGCUAUUCCUCCCCAAUCACUUUUACCAAUCUGCACAACCCAAAUUGAGAGAUGGUGCUCUUCCCUGAGGCAUGAACGCGGGUAGAGAGUAUGAGGAUAAAGGAAAGAGAAGAUGCUGUGAUCAUCCAGCUUUAUCGGUUUGUUAAGGCACUUUUCGUACUUUUUGUCUGUUUAAAAUUAUAUGCUUUUCGUCUUUAGGAAGAAUUUCAUUAAGGAUUUUCCAUGAAUUUCUGAGAAUUCCAUUUUAUCCAAGCUAUGGGCGUUGAAAUGUCAGUACCUUUUUAUUCAAAUUUUUCUUUAUUUGAAUAUUAUGUGUUUAGAAGUGUAAAUUUGCACAAUUGAAUUUUAGUAAAUUUUUCAUAGUCUAAUUGAAACAAACCAAAUUAAUUCCCCAUUGUGAUUUAAUAUAAUUGAAUGUUAAUAAUUUUUCAUGCUUUUGUAAAAGAUUUCGUCUAAAUUUCAGAUUUUUGGAGGAUCCGUCAUUAAACUUAUGGGUUUUUUUUGAUAUUUUUAUCUGAGAUUUAGUAUUUUUUUUUCUUCUAGAUUUUGUAGAGUACUUCGAUUAAAUUUGUGAGUUUGGUAGUUGUAUUUUUUCUGUGCAUUUUUAGUGAACUUGGUUGUGGGUUUUGAUGUUUGUCUGCAGCAGGGAAAGGGAAGAAGAUCGUUCCAUGCCCUCCACCAGUUCCAGAUUCUCAUUGUGCCUGGCCACCUAGCGAACCAAGUGGUCUUUCAGAACCUGCAGGAGAUGAUCAAAGCCAGAUGGUAUAGUUUUUUGUAUUUUUUGCUAUUGCUGUAUGUAAAUGACCAAAUCGAAUGCCUUUGAGCUCCUUACAAAUUCACUUUCCUGACUUAUUUUUCUUAUGAAACUCUGUCCAACCAUAUUUUCUUAUAUGGUUAAAGUUGGUGGCAGAAUUCUUAAGGAGAUCUUCCACAAGCAGUAAGCUUAACAUUAAAGGAUCAAUCUUCUUCAUUAUCUUUAUCGGAGCAAUACAUCUUUAAUGCAUGUGUACAUUAAAGGAUCAUUCUUUUAAUUUUCUCUUUUUUCUUUACUGAAAAAAUCCCUAAUUUGGUUGUUUUUUGUUUGAAAAGAGUAACGGCGUCCAAGAAUGAUUUGGAGCUAGGAAAAAAUCCCUAAUUUUCUCUGCUUCUUGAGAUCGACAUGGCUUCCUUGACUAUUUUCACCGAGGUUUCUCGCUUCAAAUUGGGUUUUAUUUAAGACAAACUUAUACAUCCUAACGCAAAGGGAGAGAGUAGGCAAAUGCUGGCAUUGUUGAUAUUGCACUUCUCUUUGGAAAGAAGCAUGUUUGGCAUUCAAUCCACCAUUUAAAUGGGAAAGAGGAAGUUCCCCGUCACAUGGUUAGAGCCGUAGAGCUCAUGAAAUACUUUUCUCGAGCCUUGGACCAAUAAGAAAGAAAUAAACUUUAUUAAGAUAAAGAGGACUGAACAACAACAUGAAAAGCUGAGAAUGAACAGUCGAAUACCGAGUAAAUUCCACUGCUACCACCCAACAAAUUCAGGUGCUGAAAUUUCAAUUAGUGUUCUUCAGGUAGGUAAAGUUGCUAUCUUUCUAUACAAGAUGUUGAAUUUUUUAUUUGCGUUUUUUUUUUUCUUUUCGUUGGAAAUAUUGGUAUUUCUGUUAGUUGUUGAUGGGUAGCUUGAAUUUUGUUCAAGUCGUAGUAAUUUCCGUACAAGUUUACAUUUUUGUGUGGAAUUUGUGCAACUUUUGGUGUUUGUGUGGUGUUAUUUUGAUUGGUUGUUGGCCUUUGAUUUUGUUAUGGUGAAAAUGUUUCCCUCUCUUUGCUUGAUAAAAUCAUGUGUUUUGGAUUAUGGUGCUGAUUUUGGUUCUUAUCUAUGACUGUUGGUGAUGUAACAUUAUCGGCUUUAGGUAGUAGGUUAUGUAUUCUUAAAAGAUAACCGAGUACAUCCUAAUAGCUGCAUCCCUGGGUUUGUGAUUUUGUUGCUCGAUUACUGAGGUUUAUUUUUCGGUGCUCUCUGCUUGGUUCUCACAUUUGAGUCAUUUCAUCAAAUCAUUAUAUAGAUUUCCACUUGAAAUUUUAGCUUUGGAAUAGUUAGGUGGCGAUCUCUGCUUGACUUUGUCGAUUGAGUCACAUCACCUAAUCAUUGGAGACUUCUUUUCCUUUGAUUGGAAAAAUCAUUGGAGAGUAGUAUUUCCUAUUAAAAUUAACUUUGGAAUGUAGUGCUGCUCUGUAUUUGUAAAGGUGAAAACUGACGAGUGCCAAGUAUGAUUGUGUAAACUUCGAUAAGUUUUAGAGUUUUAUCAUACCACAUAUCAAAUGAGCAAUAUGUGCGGGCGAAUUUAUUAUGUUAGAAGCUUAAAAUUUUCCAUUCCAGCCUAAUUGAAUUUUCUUCUAUUUUGAAUUCGAUAUAAAUGCAUUAAGGCCACUCCAGUUUCA